UUCGGUCCUCGGUAGUGGCUUCCGGAAGCUCCGCGAGGGGAGUCCGGUGGCCUCGAUCGAAGAUCGCU
rfam:Cellulomonas sp. Leaf395 contig_2, whole genome shotgun sequence.